GGCCUCGAAGCCCAGCUGGUAGAGCGUACGCUGUACAAAAGCGUACGCGGCGUCCAUGCAUGGGUUCGAAUCCCGCUGAGGCUA
rnacentral:tRNA from 1 species